GAACGCUAGCUACAGGCUUAACACAUGCAAGUCGAGGGGUAGCAGGGUAGCAAUACCGCUGACGACCGGCGCACGGGUGAGUAACACGUAUCCAACCUUCCCAUAACUCAGGGAUAGCCUUUCGAAAGAAAGAUUAAUACCUGAUAGUACUUUUUCAAGGCAUCUUGAGAAAGUUAAAGAUUUAUUGGUUAUGGAUGGGGAUGCGUUCCAUUAGAUAGUUGGUGAGGUAACGGCUCACCAAGUCUUCGAUGGAUAGGGGUUCUGAGAGGAAGGUCCCCCACAUUGGUACUGAGACACGGACCAAACUCCUACGGGAGGCAGCAGUGAGGAAUAUUGGUCAAUGGGCGAGAGCCUGAACCAGCCAAGUAGCGUGAAGGAAUGAAGGUCCUAUGGAUUGUAAACUUCUUUUAUAGUAGAAUAAAGUGAUCCACGUGUGGAUUUUUGUAUGUAUACUAUGAAUAAGGAUCGGCUAACUCCGUGCCAGCCGCCGC
rnacentral:rRNA from 1 species